GAAACCCUGUCUUGAAAACCAAACAAAACAAAACCAAAACAAACAAAAAACAACAACAGCAACAAAAAACCAAACCUCAUUCAUGUAACAAACAUAGUUCCCUUUAAUGUAGAAAUGUUGACAUCAGUAGCUUAACUACAUAUUAUUUUUCAAUCUGAGACACCAAUUGUGAGUUAAAAGAGGGCCUACUAAUAGUUGUCUUAUGAUGAGUGACUUUUAAACUAGGACCAUUCCAGGGAACCUCAUAGUGUCAUCUUGUGUCUUGACAACAAAAUGUUUAAGGUAAGCUUUAAAUCUUACGUCACCCCUAAGACACAUACCCAUAAAGCCAUUGCUCAAUUGUCAAGUCAAGGAGCAAUUCUGUAAGCUUACCUUUGCAGCCCUACUUAAAAAUAACAGCAACCCUAUGUGUCCCUGCACAUCUUCCAUUGUGUGAUAUACUUUAUUUACCUUCUUUCUUCUGCCUCUCAAUAAUAAUAUGGACGUUUGCAUAUUUGUCUCACUGCUAUAGUCUUAAUGUGUAAAAUAGUGUCUAGCUCACAGUAACUGCUUAUUGAAUUAUUUUUUUCUCAUCCAUUAUGGAACACUGAUUGUGUAUCGGGCAAAGUACUAAAAGCUAAACACUGAUUUUCCUCUGCUGUCAUCUGUCUAACAAAUGACUUGAAAGUAUACUUACAGGUGAUGUAAAAGAAAAACUGAGCCUCUGUAUGGUGGAUUUAUGCUUUUUUUCUGUCACAAAUAAACUUUACAUAUAAUUCCUUAAAAAAUUGACACCUUUUCAUGAUAUUUUCCCAAUUAUCUUCUCAUAAAUUUUAAUAGCCAUUUUACAUGUCAAUUCAUAGUGCCUGCAUAAUAAAUAGAUUAUUGAUAAAAAUCAAGUAUCUAAUGACAAUAAGAAGUUUCAAAUUAUAUCUUGAGUACUGAAAAGAAUAGCUCUAAACAUUGGAGCAGAGAUGCAUAGGAAGAAUGAAAAUAAUAUAUUUAAAAUAUUUAACAAAGACUCAACAAAAUAGCUUAAAGGAAUUAACAUUUAAUAAACUACAAAUUUGUGGGUUUUCCACUUGUCAUUCUCCCCAAGGACAACAAGCCAAAGCUUGGAAAAUCGAGGACCUUGUCUUCUGGCUGAGGUAGCUCUGGGGCCCUGCACAGCAAGACACUUCAUCUUUUUCUGCCUUAGCUUUAUGGUUUAUGAGCUCAUGUAUUCUCCAAGGUCCUCGUAUGAGAUUCCUGUAUCUGCAAUAUCAAAAGACCAAAAAUGAAAUCAGGUAGAGCAAUGUUUAAUAUUUCACAGCCCCAGAGACUGAGCACAGUUCUCAGAAAUCAAGGUCUUGGCAGGGGCACCCAUUCUCUGAUAGCUCUGAGGCUCACUCCUCAUCUCCUGUUCUUCUUCUGUGUGUGUGAUCCUUGCUGCUCCUUCAGGCACCUCACUGUAGACAUCUGACUAUCUCUCCACUUUGUCUCCACAGUGACUUCCUUCUGUGCAGUCUGUCUGUCUCUGGGACCGGUCCUAUCGAAUUAUUUGCCCACUGUAAUGGCCCCACUUUAAGCUCUCUGUGAAGACUAUUCCCACAUAAGAUAACUUUCUGACUACUGAGAUUUAGGAUUCUACAUAGUCACAAUUCUAAGCAAUAUCAAGUAAAAUUAAUGACAAUUUUUACAAAUUGCAUAUUGAUUUGUAAUGAGCCCAAGUUAAUCCUUUCAAAUGUCUUUUUCCUCCCAACCUCCCUGCCCCUAGUCUAAAUGCAAAAGCCUGUGAUUUCAUUAUGGGAAAGGGAAUCGUUUCCGUGAUUCAUACAACAUUUUUAACAUUGUUAUUUAAUGGUUUGCAGAGUAAUGCUUAGACAAACAUCGAAAAGAAAUAUGAUUUGAGUACUAAAGAUAGAUUUCACUAUUAGUACUGAAGUAGGCAGUGUAGACUGGACAAUAAGAUGUCAUAAACUUUGAGCAACUCUUCGGGCAGCUAUUUACUCUUGUAGCUACCUAAGAAUAAGAUGGAGUGAAACAAGUUUUUGUUGUGUCACAUUCAAGCAGUGGCCGCAGGAGGCCACCAGGGUAGAUUAUUUAAAGACUGGUAAGCCAGUAGAAGCCAAAACUAAUGCCCACAGUGCAUCACCACAAAUUCACAUUUGCAUGAGUAUAUUUAUAAGGUGAAUGGCUGGGCCAAUUUUCUGUGCUAUGAAAACUCACUUGUUAUUUCUCUUUAUAAGAAAUUCAAUGUCAGUUACAUCCAAAACUCCUUAGUCUAAUAAAUUUUAUUCUCUUUUCUAGCUACAUGAAAAACUGUUACUUAAUUAUUCAGAGAUUAUAAAGUCAAUAUCUCUUGCAAAUACAGUUGUUUUUUGCACAGUUAUUUGUAACUUUCAGAAGUUUGUAGUGUGGAGUGUUUCCACAUGUCUUUACCAGUUACACUGUAGAUAAACUGAAAGACACAUUCAUGAGAAUAUGACUUUAACUCAAUCUCAGUAUUUUGGGAUAAAACACUGCAUAAUAAGACAAUUAUUUACAUACACUCAACAAACUUCUAUUGGAAAUAUAAAUUGCGAUUUUCUUUGAUGAGUAUUUAUAAAUAGAGUAUGACUGCUUGGUUACAUAUUUUUAUGAAAAGUUAAUUUUUUCAUUAAAAAAACUUUUUAAAAGAGGCUAUUAUUCUUUAUAAUUAGGAGUAAAACAGAUUCAUUAUGAUUUUGUCUUAUAGAACAUUAAUAGCACCUCACUAAUUAUAUUGGAUUAAAGUAUAAUUAGUUUAUGUGUAAACCUGAAAUAUUCAGUUGCAUGCCUUGGUAAGAACUAUUCAUUAAUGUUUCCAUCAAGCCACCAGCUUUCCUGUGUUUAUUUAAAUACACCUGUCAGAAUCUGAGUUGAACAGAACACUGUGGCAUUGAACACUGCAUAAUAAACAUCUCAAAGUUUUUUUUUCUCAUCUAUCUUGACUAUUCAAUGUCUCACAAAUGUGUAUAUUGCAAGUGUUUUUAUGUUCUUGCUGCUUCAAAAUCAUCCCCGUUUAUAAACAUGAGCAGUUAAAUUUAAAAUGUGUUAUAUAAUCUAUAUGCUAUGUUGGAAAAACUAUUACAUAACUUUACUCAUCAUGAGUGUAUGUAACUAUGUAUGGUGUAUGCAUGUGUGUGUGAAUAUGUUUGUGGGUACCCUUGCCGCUGUGAGCCUGUGUGGUGGCAAAAGGUAGGGCUAAUUGUCUUCUAUUGCUCUCCACCACAUUUUUUGAGACAGGAUCUGUCGCUGAAUCUAGUCCUCACUGUUUUUGCUAGAUUUGCUGGCAAGCAGAACCCUCACUCCCUAACACUCAGGUCACAGAUGCACACUGUGGAUUCGGACUCUCCUGUGGGUGCCUGGUAUCCAAACUCAGUUCUUACAUAGAAAGUGUUUACACACUGACCCAACUCCUUGGCCCUAUGCAAUAUAUUUACAAUGAGUGUUCUAUACUACUUUAAUAAAAUGCAUUAUAUAUGAAAAUUUCAUUUAUAAAAUUCAAACUGUAUAGAGUCAAACAAAUAUAUUUAAAUAUUUAAAUAAUUAUGUAUAUAUUAUCUGCAUAAAUAUAUACCAAUACUGUCACACAAAUGUUCUUCCAUCAUUAAAAUCACUGAAUCCCAUCCCAAAUAACAAAAAUCAAGUAUUACUUAACAUCUUUUUAGGGCUGGUAUUUUCAAACUUCACUAUAAGACAUGUUGCCUAGCAAAAAGGUAAAUACAGUUAUGAAGACACAAUGAUAAGGUAUUAGGAAUAAAUACUGGCCUAGAAUAUAUAUUUUCCUCUUGAGAGACUGAGCUGUUUGCUCUCAGGAGUUUAAUAAGUGUGGGAGUCUGGAUAGGAGGGCAGCUGCCUGAAUUCAGAACAAACACAGGAGGCAAAAAAUGUUUAGUUUGACUGACAUGAGUUGACUUUUCUUUCCCCUUUCUCUGUUUUUCUUUAAAAAUACUUUAGAAGACUUUUUCACUUGUUCCUAACACUCUUCCUGGGAAUAUCAGAGAAAGAAACCAUGCCCGUAUAUUUUCCUGUAGUCCAAAGGUACCAGAGAAGAAUAGCCAGGUUGACCCAUGUACUUUUCACAUGUUUCUUACAUAGAACAGACUCAACCACUGUUAACAAAUACAGUUCAUGCUUGUAGCAGCUCCUGUGUGAUUAGGUGCACAUGCUCAAAAGUAGAGUGCAUAAUUCCUGCUUUUAUACACAUAUAUUUUGGUUGAUGGAAAAAGGAAAUCGUUGAUCAUAAAAAUGCAUUCUAAAGUUAGUAAUAGAAUGUGUCAAGUAGCCUUUGGAGCACAGCAUAGAUUAUGAGGUAGGUAUAACCCAUGAUAUUUGCUCUUAAGGUGUUUACUGUGCACUUGCAAAGGUACAAAGUGCAUUACCAUGAUCUGCUGAGGGACAUGAAAUGACAGCAUGGGAGGCCAAAUAAAGAGAGAUUUAAUAUGGGCUAUGAUUUUUCAAGUUUUAUGAAAGAUGUAGAGCUUGCAUUGGUAUGGAAGAGGAUUAAUAGCCACCUACUCUAAGAAAGCAGGAUGCCAUUAAUCUUGGUGCCCACAAUAAAACAAGGGAGUUUAAAGCAAACUGACCUUGUGCCUGAAAAAUAUGCAUAACUUAAAGAAUUAUCUCUCUCAGCUGUCAAGUUGAAUACUGACCAUUGAAAGGAAAGCUAUACCAUUUAAGUGGUUGUAGUAGUUGGUUUAAUAGCAGUGGUUUAAUAGUUGUAGUAGCAAUAGCUACAAGUAGCAAGAACAUUCAAAUGUUUUAUUAUGAUUUUAUGUUAAAAUUCACUGCACUGAUUUUGUAUAUAAAGAAAAUAAACUUCAAUGAUGUCAAAUGUCUAAGCUAACAGAGUUUUCAGUAUUACAUCUGAAAGUAAGUUUCCAAUUAAUAUAUGAUUGGUCCUAAUUGUAUUUUAAAGUGGUAGCAUUGUGUUCUUCUUGCUUUUCUUUAGAAUAUUCCAUCUGGAUUUUCCCAUGUAUAUGGGGAGGAAACAACCAGAUAGCAUCUCUUUCAUUAUCUUCAGCUGUUUACUGGAGUGUUUGUUUGUUUUUCUUUAUUUGCAAUGCUGCACAUUGAACUCAGGACCUGAUGCGUAACCAUUUAAGCACUCUAGUUUUGAUCCACAUCCACAGUCCUGUUUCUUAAAGCUGCUGUAAUUGAUUAUUGAUUCAUUGGUUGAUUAUAAAAAGUUAGCAGUUUAUAAGUCCCAGUUGGUUUUUUUUCCGCCUCUGGCAAGUGAGAUGUAACAAUGGAACAUUCCUUUUCACAGGCCCAGUCUUGGUGGGACUGGGAGAUGAUGUUGAGUAUCUCUGAGGUUUAUUUAACUUCCUGGUCUCUGCAUUACCACUUGCCCAGGACAAUUACUUUGAAAUAUUGUACCAGGGUACUAAUUUCGGUUCUUUUUGAAUUUGUUUUUGUUUAAAUGUACAUAAAUCCAUUUGGUGGAUAUCACUGUUUUUUGUUUGUUUGUUUGUUUGUUUGUUUGUGGCUAAACACUCCUCAGAAAUCAAAAAUACAGAAAUCUAAAGGACUUUGUAACUUAGACCAGGAUUACCAAAAAUCAUGGAAGAAAAAUAAAUACAGGGACCACAACCAAGUAAAGAAAGCCAACAAUGCACCUAUUUUUCCUAUUCAUUUUCCAAACUAGAACUUGAUAAUUUUAUUUGAGGUUUUUAUGUGCACACUUCAGAUAGAAUAACGUUUUCAUCUAAAGAGGCAGUAAGUACCCCCUUCACCUUUUGACAAUUCAGUGCUGAGAGAGCUGGGGAUGUGGUUGAACUUGCUUCUCUUAUUCAUAAAGUCUACAGCAUUUAUUUUCUUGCCUCAAACAGUGUUGCUGGUGAGAACAAAGCCAGGUUCUAACCUCCUGAGCUGCACCUGAUUCUGGUAGACAUUGGACACGAGUUCUCUGACAUCUACCUCUGUCUUCUUCCAGACAGUAUUUACAUUUGGACAACAUAAACUAAUACAAUUAUGUUGAUUUUUUCUAACAUUUAGCAGUUUACAUAUUUAGAGCUUUAUUCAUUUAGGAUUAAUGCAAUCAAUUAUGUCAAAGUUUAAUUUUGAAUGUUUAUGCCCAUAUUUCCUCAGAGAACUUUAAUAUUCUCAAAGCAAAUGUCAUCUGCUAGUGUGUCAAUUAUCAUUAUUACUGGCAACAUUUGCAUUUUUAAGUCACUGACUAAGAAUAAUCUAUUAGAAUUUACUUUACCUAUCAAAUAAAAUUAAAAUCACCAUUUAAAACUACUGGUAAAAUUCCUUCAAACAAAGGCCAAAAUAUUUCAAUUGUAAUUUCUCCCUUUAUUAUUGAAAAACAAUGAUGCAGAACUACCUAUGAAAUUGGAAAUAAAGGUCAAACAUGCAUUUCUGUGGUGGGCUUUUCAGUUCACUUCCCUGAAAUCUUAAGGGUAACACUAUAUUUUCAUAUAUGUCAUAUUACCUCCUCUUUCACUCUGGAGUUUUUGGAGAAAACACAGUUGGCUACCUUCUUUACAUUAUUGCCUUUUCUGUAGAUUUGUCUUUAAAAAUUAACAUAGGUUGAAACUGUCUUCUUUUUAGGAAGGUGCUAAGGGUUCUAUGAAUUCAACAAAUAAACAAAUGUACUUAAUGAACCACAAUAAAGAAGAAGAAACUAUUCCACCAGCUCCCCCCACCAAAAAACAAAAACCCAAACCAAAACCCCUCCCAUUCUGUCUGUAAACAUACUCACGGUACCCCCUAACCAGAGGAAUCUACUGAACUGUCAACCACACUACAGUUUGGCAUUUUGUGAUACCAUAUAGAUGGCAUCAUAUGAAUGCCAUCGUGCUAUAUGUAAUCAUUCAAGACAUCUAUCAGCAUUGCCUUUGAGAUUUGUAAAUCACACAUGUAUGAGCAAUUCAUUGCUCAGUAUUACUCUGUUGCAGGGACAUGCUACAGUUUCCUUACUGUGCACCUUGUAAAGAAUAUUUGUGUAUAGAAGCUUAUUUGCAUUAAUUGAAUGCAGUUCUGAAUACAGCAGCUUUAAACUCUCGUACAUGAAGCUUUUGACAUUUUCAUUUGGGUAAACAUCUAAGAGGGGGACUGCUGGGGCAGAGGGAAAGUGAACAAUUAAUUUUGCAGAAUAUUGUCACACUGUUUUCUAGAGUGUCUGUAUCAUUUGUAUCCCUAACAGCAAGAUGUUCUAUCAUCUCGUAUCUUUGUCAACACUUGCUAUUAUCUGUUUUUAUUUAAUUUUGGCCAUUCUGAUAUUUUAUUUAAUUAUGAUUUUGAUUUACAUUUCCUUGUUGGCUUAAAUUUCUCCUCUGUUUAUUUCCUUUCCAUAUAGUCUUGUAGAAUGGUUUUCUAAGUUUCAUUCAUAAAUUAAAAUUGUAGAAUUUCUUUAUGUUGAGUUGGGGUGUUCUUUAUGUAUUCUGCAGCCAAGUCCUUUGUUUGAACAUUGGCUUGCAACUGAAAAUGAUUCCAUUUCAAUUCCUUUACCUGUUAAAUAGUAUGUUUUCUUUCUGUGUCAUAUUUUUACCAAGAACAACAUAGCAUAUGUUGAACAUAUACUGCCAAGGCCUCAUAUUUACCUGCAUUGAUAGAUAACAUUGCCUAUUCAUUAUCAUAUUUUUCAUUGUCUUCACUAUUCAACUAAUCCCUAUGAUGUCCCAUUCUGUAUCAAGUUCUCAUUGACUCCUUAAAACUCACAAUUUCAUUGUUGCACAUUACUCUGAUUGACGUUCUUUCACACACAUUUAUCCACAUCUCUCUUGCUGGCAAAACCAUCCCACUUCACGUCUCCUUGUCCUCAUGUUGAGCUUUCUAUUCAUUCUGCUACUUUGAUUAUUUUUCUGGAUUUAGUAGACAUGUGAGACGAAAAUAAUAUUUUCAUUGUGCUAUCCCCUACUAAAAAAUCUGCCAGCUUGCCACUGCCUAAAAACUGGUGUCCAAACUUAGAAACUUGUUACUGAAGGCCUUCCAUUUCACCCUUUUUUUUCUUUCUUUAAUCUACCUACGACUCUGUAUGAACACUCAGACACACUGAUAAUGUCCUUUUUCUUUUCUUUUCUUUUCUACACACCACAGCUAUGAAUAGACACAAAAGAAACAGUUCCUCUUCCGGAAGACACACAAUCUAGUUUAUGAAGCAAACUGGCUUUUUGUGUGGCAGAAAAGCUAACCAGCCAGUCUAUCUAUAUUCUGGAAUCUUUUUCAUGUUAGGAGACCAGAAAUACAGCUAUAUUUUCUAGCAAUAUUCUGUAACAUUUAUUUUUGUUCUGCACAGAAAGAGAAUCAAACAUGUUGAUAUUACACUGAAAAAAUAUAUCUUAAAUGUUUAUCCCAAAUGGCUCUAUUAAUCAUGACAAGGAACAGACCUUUGUAGUUUCCUAUUGUGUCUGACAUCUUUUGCUCAGCAGCCUUUGCUUGGGAUUUAUCUAUGAUGUUGUAUGAAGCUCUGGACUGUUCAUCCUCACCACAGUCUUGUGUCCAUUGUGUACUCGUUGUAUCAGUUCCCUUGAUUUGGACACAUGCGUUGAGGGAGUUUCGGGUUUGUGAUAUGAGAACCCAUGAACAUUUUCAUGUAUGUUAUUUUGUGAGCCUUCAUAAUCUUUUCUUCCACUCUGUGCUAGGAUUGAGAAAGCUAAAAUAUGGCAUACAUUGUCCAAGAGCUUCUGUGAAGGCUACCAGUCACCAAAGUGGUCGAUUUAUUUGAUAUAAGAAAGACUACUUUCUGGAAUCUAGUUUGGGAAUGGACACAUCUUGGUAUUAAGUGUAAUAAACAGAUAAAAUUAGAAAGAGACACUAGGGUAUGAAGUCCUGACAGAAUAGGUAGUGUUGCUUCCCUGCAGUUUCAGGGUGACAAGGGUGCAGGUGGCUUGUGGGGGAAUGAGUGUGUUUGAAGACUGAGGCGCAGAGCCUUGCUUCCCGUACAAUAGGUAGUGUGUGAAGCAACGCUUCAUGAACUUUUUUUCUCUUUUUUUUCAUUUAAAAACAUGUGCCUAAGGUUUCAAGUGCUUUUAAAUUAGCGUAGUCUUGAAUGGAUGCUAAUAAAACUACUGUGUGUGACAAUUGAUAAUAAAGUCCUUGUGUCUUGUCGGCAUGUGGAUGGUGUUUUUAUUAUUCAAAGGAGAGCAUGGGGCUUUGUUCAUUUUAACAAAAUACUUCUCCAAGGCUAUUUGAACCUGCCUCCCUUUCACUGCUACACCACUGAACUGUCUCAGAAAUUCACUACUUUUUCUUGCCUAAAUAAUUUCCAAUAAUCCAGACCCAUACAUAUUGGUAGCUGAACACGUUGAAGAGCAUAAACAAAAAUAAUAGACGUUGUGCCAGUGAAGGAGUACAAACCCAGACAAAGGUCUUGUGCCAAUUAGGACAAUCUACAAACAGCUGCUGUGUUCCCGGUGGUUUCAGCACCGCGGCCAGCGACUUGAAGAAGAAAUGAGCUCAUUCUUCCCCCAGCAGGCAGUAUUCUCUGGGUUCCUGUGUGGCUUCCCCUCUAGCAAGGAGCACAGACUCACAUUGUGAGCUUCGCUGUGGGCAGACUGAAAAGAUGCACAAGGCACUCUUAAUUGGGUUCAUUCAGAUUCUGGAAUUCUGAAAACUAAAAGGGUCUGUGAGGGAAGCUUAUAUGUUUUGUUACUAAAAUUUAAAUGUUUUUCAUAAAUGUAAACUUUAAAUUUAGAUAUAAAUGUCAAUAAUUUAUUGGAGGGUGAAAUUUUAAAAAGUCUUCCAAAGAGUUUAUUCUCAUUUAUUAUGAUAGCCUGAGGGUCAACUUUAUUGGUAUUGUGAGUAGUGCCAUUUGUAACAUAAUAUAAAGGCAUAUUUUCCCAAAGCAUUUUAUAAACAUAUAUGUUAUUUAUUUUAAUUAUUAUGAGUUUUAAAAAAAACUGUCUUUAAAGGAAAAUUAGCUGCUAUAAAACAAUAAAUUAAAGCCAGAUCUUAAAUUUUGACAUUCAUGAAAUCAGGCAUAAAAUGGGAAAAAUGUAAUAGCCAGUUUUUCCUGUAAGCAUGGCUCUAUCUUUGUAAGACUCCCUUCAUUGCAGGCACUGGCCUCAGCAGCUUCUUUGAGAAUGCCUGGCAUUCUUAGCUGAAUAAACCAUUACCAAGGUCACAUAUGACAAAUCCAGUGAUCACUCUUCUUUCCUCAUUUUAUUCAUAUGUUUUCAAGUCAUAUAGCUCACACUUUCCCCUUUCCUCACAUACUCUUGACUAUCCACUGUCCAUAUCUUUCUUGGCCUUUUGAGCUGACGUCUGUAGUGCAGGUCUGCUAGGCUGUCUGCUUGUAUCUUUCACCAAGGUGUCUUUGCUGUGACUUUUAUUAGGGUCUAUAUUCGAUGAAUCACAGUCAUGUAUGUGAUCCUGAUCUCCACAGAGAGCUCUAGCUUAUGAAUCUAAACACACAGCCGACAUUUCCACUAGAAUGUUUAAGAUGCAUCUCAGACUUCUCAAAGUGGUUAACAGAGCUGCUCAUCUUCCUUUAGAAGCAUCCAAUUUCCACAUCAGCAAUAACUGUUAACUUUUAUCCCAUGGCUCAAAGUAAAUACCCAGGAUUCGAGGCUGCAGAUAUAGUUCUGGAGUUAGGAGCACUUGCUUCUUCAGUGGAUCCAGGGUUGGUUUCUAGUAUCCACAUGGUAGUUGAAAAAUCAUCCAUGAUUCUAGUUGUUAGGGAUCUAAUGUCUUCCUCUAACAUCCUUGAGCAACAGAUAUAUGCAUGGUACACAUAUACAGAUGUAAACAAACAUUCAUUCACAUAAAAUUAAAAUAAAUAAAUCUUAAAUUAAAAAAAAAAAACUAGGAUUCAUCCUGUAUUCCUUACUGACUCCACCUGGAAAUGUGUAUGUGCACAUAUCACCAGUCAUUGAAAGGACAGUUAGGUCUACAUUCAAAAAGUAUUUCCAAUUGUUUUGGAAACAAUUAGCUGUUUCAAGAUUCACGCCACCACCAUCUGUCAGCACUAUGCCUACAACAGUGUCCUGAUCUCAUCUCUCCAGCCAGGCUGUUUACUCCCAUCUCCCUAUACUUCCUGCUUGUCAUGUGCACCAGGUCUUCCUGUCAAGCUUUCUGUUUCCUUUGUAUUGUUCCUAUUCAGAAGUUUCUUGUGUGCCUUUUUUUCUCUUUAUAAAACUGUCUCCAAAUGGUAUAUAACUACCUCAAACCAAAUAGCAAGCUGUUCUCUGUGAAUGCCACCUUGAUAUCCUAUAAUUUAUCUCAACCCUACCACUAUUUCUCUGGAAAUAGUGUCAGAUCACAUAGAUUGAGGGCUUAAAACCAAGAGACUACCCACCCCCCCACCCACACACAUACUUCAGAUGUCAGUCAUAAGCACAGGUUGACAUCUGUGCUUCUACUUGCUCAUCUAUAAAUUGAGGCUCCUGUGAGCCCCCUUUGGGUUGGAUUAAUUUACUAAAGUGUCUCACAAGCCUCAGGAAAAUGGUUUGUUUUGUUAUGAAGAACACUGCAAAGAAUACAAACAGCUAGAUGAAGAGCUGGAAAAAGCGUUGACAUUCCAAGUACUUUAUAGAUAAGUCACCCUCCUCCCCUAAGCCCCCUGCAUGUCAGUUGCCUUGAAAUUCUAUGAAUAUAGUUUUGGGUGACUUUGGUUAUUUAGCCAUAGAUGAUUAAGUAACAGGCAUGACUGAUCAACUUAAUCUCCAGCACCUCUGUCCUUAAGGUAAAGAUGAAAGUCCUAAACUCUAUCACACCAAGUCUUUUGAUUGAACAGACACCAUCUCAAAGCUACCUAGCAACCAGCCCACCAGAGAGAACUCCAUCAGGGACCACCCCAUCAGGGACCAUCCCACCAGUUACUAGCAUACAAGAAACAUCAUUUCACUCUUUAUUCCAGAUUUCCAAGGCUCUAGUAGCUUCUAUAUCAGGAAAUGGGAAUAUAUAACAAGUAUGUGUGUGUGUGUUUGUGUGUGUGUGUGUGUGUGUGUGUGUGUGUGUGUGUGUGUGUGUGUAGUUACAAAGCACAGCAUUGUAGCAGGAAUCACGUCCAUGUUUCUCACAGUUAUGCUUCUAGCAUAUAAAUUAUGCCUACCAUGAGGCAGUCAAUUUUACUAAGUGAUUCAGUGAACUAUCAGUAUAUUGGAAUUACCCAGAGAACAUGCUGGGAAAUUAUAGAAAGGCAUGUCGUACUUUACUGAUUUAUCCACAUUAUUCUCUGCAAUCAUCUGCCAUUUGUAUGUAGUUGUUUCAAGCACACAGGAGGGUUCUAGUGUGCCUCCUUUAAAAACACCAUAGUAAAUUGCAAAUGUACGAACCCCGUCUUUAGUUUUCAAUUAGCCUGAUACAAAUUUACAAGUAUUCCUGUGACUUAUCUUACUGAAGAGAGCUUAACCUUACCCAGUAGUGACUUUGGAGGUCCAGGCUCUUGCUAUUCAACUCUCAGUCAGUCCCCAUUCCUGGGCUAAACUGUCUAUUUUUGCCUGGUGAGCCCCAAGAGAAGUGGGUAUUUUUCUGUCUGAGCCUCAGGUUUAUCCAGAGGCUUCAAGUGGGAACCAUUUAUUGUCUUAUCCAGGUGCUGACCCUUUGACUAUGCCUCUGGCCUUAGCAUACUUAUUUGUUUAGCCCUGAGGCGGGAUGUCUAUUUUCUUUUGCUGGAUCCUGACAUGUUCCAUUUCCUGGGAGUCCCACCACUCAGACACGUACUAGUGUUUUAAGAGCAGCUACUUUUAUGCUGAAGAUUAUGAAAUCAUAAAAUUUAAGGGGUGGUAAGCAUUUUUGGUAUUGCUUUUCUCUGCAUCUUUAUAUUCAAAAUGUGAGCAAGAAUGAGCCAAGGGAUAAUAGUCAUACUUUUAAAGUAUUUAAGACAUCAAAAAUGCUGCAUUUAAUGAUUUUUUUUACAUCUACCAGUUUCUACAUGUCUCUCUCUUACACACAGAUAUACACUCACUACAACUGAUUUCAUAUCAUUUCAUGCUGUAGAGUUUUCCUCUGGUUGCUCAAAAAUUAGCUUUUCAAUUGUCAAUGUAAAGAGUACUUGAUAAAUGUUAUUUUCCUGUCUGUAUGUGUGAUUGGAAUAACUAGGGGAUGGGUCUAUGCCUUCAGGUUCUGACCUAGAGCAAGACCUACACCGCUAACAAUAGAGUAUUUCUGUAAUGGGGACCACAUCUUUUCUAGGCACUGUUUAUGUGUAAGGCCUCGUGGAGAGGAAGGCACUAAGCUCUCCACAAGUGCUGGGUGCUGUCAUAGAGGGGAGAAGCCAGUUCCUCAUAUCCCCAAAACCUUUUGAUGUAGUGUGUAAAAAAUGAAAUUCACUUCCUGGAUGGAAACUACUCAAUUUGAUCCCACCCAUCAUCCCUAAUUUGAUUUUUUAAUGGUGAGUCCCUCAUUUUAUUGGCUUACUCAAAAAUAAAGCAAUGACUAGCCAAUUAUUGAGUGUUUACUAACAUGUAGCUAACACAUUUCUUCUUGCUUUGGGGACAAGAUUAAUUAACAUAUAGACAAAAUUCUUCUGAUUGCAGCUAAACAGGACAUUUUUAUUUGUCUUGUAGUCCAGUUUGAGUCAAGAAUUAUACAUUAGACAGUAUUGUAUCCAUCAGAAAUAUAGAUUGUCACAUGUUUUCUGCCACUAAUAGCAACAAAGAACUGCUAGCAUUAGUUAUCCACCUUGUGACUUGGAAAGCCUUUACUUUGCUGUGGCUCUAUGGAGGUAGAUGUUGCUCCUUCUAUUGUUCAUGCCAGGAAAAUAUUUCAAACUUUCAACACUCCUGGGUCUGUACUAGUGUUCUAGGGCUGCAGGAUUCUACCUCCAUUGUGUCACCUGUAAAGGUUAGAGAUAGGCUUCUCAUCACCUCUAGUUUUCAACAAUGUAUGAUAUCUAAAAUACACUUAGCAACUCGGAGCUUCAUGAUAACUGAAGGAGCUACUGAUCCACUAUUGCAAACAUUUCCCAUCUGCAGAGAAUUUAAUAUGCACAUAGUUAAAACGGGGGAACUCAAAAUAGACCCCGGCUCACCAGUGUCUACGUUCCCUUGACAUGUGUGCAUUGAUUAUUGAUAUAUUGUGUUAUUUUGUCUAGUGAUAUUGAAUGAUUGAACACUAGAAAUGCAAUUGUGUACUCCAUUGCUUAAGAAGUAUGUGCAAUAAACCAAUAAUCAGCCACACAUUCAAUCAAACUAAUUCAUUCCUGUGUGUAAACAGCAACUCUAUAAAUAAAGUAUUUAUCUGCAAUUUAAUUAAAAGCCAGGAUUUAAAUUCCAGGAAGAGGCCUAAGUUAGAUUGGCAGGCAGAUACACUAAUGCAUUAUUAUUUUUUAAAUUAUACUAGAUAGGUCUCAUGGUAUAUUAAAUUUGAUAUGAAAAAAGAAAGAGUAUGAGGACUAAAUAUCUGAAAGACUAUAUUAUUGAAGCUACCAAUUGGUUUAUAAUGCAGAAAUUCAUGACCCUGCUUUCUUGUUUCUCUAAACAAACACUGAUUAAGAAGGAGUAUGCCUUCUGCUUUGUAUUACAGCCUCUUGGCUGUCUGCUCAUUGAAGCAUCUUACAGGCUAACUGGGUCCUGAGGGUGGCUUAUCUUCCACAAAGAUGGGGAUUUCUUAAGAACACAUCUUUGUGCAUUUCUUGCAGGAAUAACUGUGUUCAGUUUCCCUUAUUUUUAUACAAUCACUUAAAUUCAGCUAGUAUGGAAACUAGCAAUGAGUGCUACUUAUGAAUUUUAACAUCCCUUUCCUCUUUGAUAAAGAUAUGAACUACUAAUUUGAAACAUAUACCAUAUUUAUUGAUUUUAAGUAUUGAGAGUAAAGCACAUCAUUACAAAAUUUUGUCUUUUUAUUUAAAAAUAAAAGUAUAGGUCAUUAAAAUCUAAACCUUUUUUGCAUUUCUUGCAUUCCUGCUGACACUCUUAUAAGAGAUGAAAGAUAACACUUCAUUCUGUUUUUUCUGUCCAUUCAAAUGGUGUUAAAUCAACGGAUCAUAAACUACUUGAAAGUAAAACAAGCUCUUUAUUCAUACCUGACUAGAAGUGAGUUGCACUCUUAAGAUAUUACCCUAUCAAAACAUUUGGCUUCUACCCCUAGACAUAUUUUCUUUGCAUUUUUGUUUGUUUGUUUAUUUCAGAAAGUGUAAAAAACAAAAAAUGCAAGUCUUUCCAGAAUGUAAUCGUGUUGGAGGCUCUAUGACCCAUCACCUGGUCCAGCCACUGAAAGCUUGCAUGACUUGUCUUGAUUUUUCUUCCUUCAUGUUAGUUGCUAACUCAACAAGCAUCACCUUUCUAUGGCAUUUGCUUCAUACACUGUAGCCUCAUUAGGUUUUUUAUUCUGUACAUGCAAUAUGAAUAUUACAUUUCUCUAAAGCUUUCCAGUGAAGAGCUCAGUAGGUCCUUUUAUGGCCAUGUAAACCUUUCUAUUCCACCCAGCUGUUUCAUCUUCACAAGUGGCUAAAUAUUCGAUGGUAUUGGCUUGCAUUUCUAUAGUGUUUCCUCUGUCCAGCAUCCUUUGACUUCUGUCUACAUUAAUUCAUUUAAUAAUCACUACAGUCUUCUCUUUAUACAAAUGAGAAGAUUUAACCUCAUAGACAUUAGAUCAUUUGUUCAUUGUCACACACCUACUUGAUGGUGGACGGAUUUAUCCACUUUGGGUAGACUUAAGACUCUACACUCAGGUAUAAAGUCAGCUUCUUCCCCAUUCUUUAUUUUCCUCAUUAGUUAUGUGUGGAGAUUGGCACUGAUGUCAUCAAAAUUUCGGUGAAGCCAUAAUUACAUAUGUUGAUAGAAAUAAGUAUAAUUUUAGAAAUCUCAUACUCCCUGAACUAGAAGAUAAUACUCUGCUGAUAAUUUCAUGCAGACAUAAUAGUCGUGACAUAUCUUUAAUUUUAAUAACUUUGAAAGUUGCUUAUUACUGUCUUCUACAUAAUGCAAAACAGAGUUCUAGACCUGGAGACUUUCAAUAUCUGUUUUUCUGAGUCUACGGCUGACUGGCUUCUCUGAGAAAAAUAGGUACUGUAGUUGACUUUGAUCCUUAGCUGUCAGGUCACACCUGGAAAUUUGAUCCUUAAACCAACCCAAGUUUCUCCUUGUUUGUAGCUCAAGACAGUUUGAGUUUAUACGUUUAGUUUAUAAGCAAGUAUAACAUUGAGACAUUGCUCAAUACUCCAGAAUCAAUUGGGGAGGGAGAUAGUCAUAGAAGAAAAAAAAUCACUGAAAGAGUAAGUCUGAAAUUUUCACCACAUACCAUUUUGUGCUUUUAGAUUUUUUGUGAUUUAUGAAUAUAUCUUGCGUUCAAAAAUUAAAUCAGUGAAAAACAUGCCUGGGAUCUUAGAAUAACUCCUUGACAAGGAUCAAGACCAAGACUGCCCUUGACCUAGCCAAAAGAUCAAGGUGUUCUGAAAUACACAACAGUCUUGUGCAGUGAAUUAAUUGGAAUCAGCAAAGCAGUAAGAAUGGAGAGACAUAGGGCCUCAACAGGAAGCAACUGUGUAAAGAAAAGCACCAGAGAGACUAAUGGGGAAGAGAGAAGAGAGCCCCUGCUGGACAGCUCUAUACCAGCUCUAUACCAGCUGGAACAGGAGGGGAAGCAAGUUUAGUGGAGUCCAGAGGAGCCAUCAGUCCACAGCAGCCACAGGCUGUCUCAGCCCUGUUUUGGCUAUUCGACACCUUUAUGGUUGAAUAUGAAUUUUAUGACUUCAUUCGAUUUCUACAUUAAUUAUCAUUGAGAUUUUGAGAACAAUUUUCUUGGCUCUGUAUCUUCCUUUAGGCAGUUUUGGGUAUUUUAACUACAUUAAGUAUACAUUCACUGAACAAAGGAAUAAAUUUUUAGUUAUUUGUAUCAUCAGCUUUCUUUCAAAGCUGUGGUUUUGCAUGUAUCGGUCUUUUAUCUCCUUAGUUAAAUGUAUUGACAGGUGUGUUAGCGUUUUCAAAGCUAUUGUAAAUUGAAUUGCUUUCACACUUUCCCACCAAGGUGGUCAUUGUUGUAUGUGUUAACACAACUUACUUUUGUUUCUAUUUAAUACUGCAUAACUUUGCUUAAUUUAUUAGUUUUAAGCAUUUAUGUACUUUGUACCUAUGUAUGAAGUAUUUCAGGUUUUCAGCAAGAUACUAUGUCAUCUACAAACACACAGCAUUUUGUGUCUCCCUUUCUGAAUAACUUUUCUUCCCUACUUACCUAGCUUGAACUUACUGUAUGUAGGAGGGUAGGGUGGGCAUCCUUUGCCUUUUCUGACUACAGAUGAAAGUUUGAAUUUUCCUCUUUUGGAUAUGUUAGUUUGGGGCUUUUCAUUCUAUAUAAUUCUAUAUAAUAGCAAUUUCCUGCUAUUCCUGUUUUUUGUUUGUUUUUGUUUUUGUUUGGGGGAGUUGUUUUGUUUUUUCCAAUGUUUCUGCACCACUGACUGAAUCUCAUUACUGGUCAUCUCUCUGUUUAGACUUUCUGUUUUUCAGUGAGUCUCCAUAGGUGCUAUGAAUCCAUGAAUUAAUUCAAUUUUAUGGACACAUUUUUCCAUGUACUGGUGUCUGAUUGCAUACAGCAGACUCUUGUACUCUCUUAACCACCCAUGGGAUUCUAACCAUGGAAACUUUUACUCUUGCAUAUCCUCUUUGAACAGUUUUCUGGCCUGUGUCCUCUGCUUAUUUUUACUCUGAUUUUUUUUUUUCUGUUCUUUUAUUGGUGAAACUAGAUUUCCACAAUUCUGGAAAUAUAGUGAGUGGCUUCCUUGAAAUCUCCUUUUAUAUACUACCUGUUUCUGAGUUCCUUAGUCUUGCAGGGUUAAACCCCAACUUGUGUUUUGAAAGGUAAAUACUGCAAAAAUAAAGUAACCAUAAGACCAUAGCAAUGCUUAUUACUUUCCUCCCAACAUCUUAAGGAGAGUGACUAACUAUAAUGAAUCAUUAAACUAUACAAUUGCUGCUUUAAAUAUGGAAAAACUCACCUUCCACAAUUUAGUAACUCAGCAACAGUCCUACUUAGUUAGACUUGCAUACAUACAGAAGUAAUGAACUCAGACCUUAAUGACCCAUCAUAUCAGGGCAGAAUCCUCCAUGGUCCUGGGAGCAGUAAAUGCCUUGCUGUGACACAAUUUUUCUCAUGGAUUUCCUCUAAGAUACAGAAGUUUUCAUCCCAUAAAUAAAAUAACCGGAAAGCAUUGAAGGAUAAUGUUUAGUUAAUAAAGAGUGGCACUUUGGUGAUCAAGAUAAGCAAUAUCUGCUUUGUAACCAUGUAAGAUUUAUUUUUCACUUAAGUUCUCCUGUUUAGUUCCUGCCAAGAAAACCAAAGCAACACAUUUUCUAGAUACCUGGUCUAGAAUUCCUGGUGCAUAGUGUUAUUAGGCUAGCAUUCCUAGGGUACAGGGUCAUUAGCCUAGUAUUCAUGGUGUAUCAGGUCAUUAGCCUAGCAUUCCUGAGAAUAAGGAGUCAUUAGCCUAUCCUUCCUGGGGAUAUGGGGUUAUUAGCCUAGCAUUCAUAGGGAUAUGGGAUCAUUGGCCUAGCAUUCCAGAGGAUAAGGGCUUUGGCCUUGCAUUCCUGGGAAUAGGGGUCAUUAGCCUAGAAUUCCUAGGGGUAGAAUGUCAUUGGUGUAGCAUUCCUGGGGAUAAGGGGGUAAUUUGCCUAGUAUUUCUGAGGAUAUGGGAUCAUUACUUUAGCAUUCCUGGGGGUACAGUGUCAUUGGCCUAGCAUUCCUAGAGAUUAGGAGUCAUUUCAUUAGCCUACCACUCCUGGGGAAAAGUGGUCUUUAACUUAGCAUUGCUGAGAGUACAGUGUCAUUGGCCUAGCAUUUCUGGAGAUAAGGGGUCAUUAGCUUAGCAUUCCUGGGGUAUAGGGUCAUUGGCCUAAGUUUCCCAAUGAUAUGGGUCAUUCUCCAAAGUUUCUAAAUAAGUUCUGUGCUUGGGCUGAACCUCAGUGGUUAAGCACUUGCCUAGAAUGGGUAAGGUCCUGGGUUCCAUUCCCAGUACCACACAAAUUCAUUCUGUAUACCAUUUGUUUUCUGAUACUUUUACCAUGGAGGAAAAGGGUGGUGAAAAUGUUUCUAUUUUCUCAGCAUAAUUCUCCUCUUUCUGCUCUGAGAGUUCAGGCAUCAAGGGGCUCCUGAUCAGUGUAAACAAAAUUGUGACAUCAGUGAGAAUUUCUCCUUAAAGGUUACAAAGCAACAUCAUCUUCCACAUACCUCAGUGUCAUAGUAGAUGAUGACAUGGGACCUAUCAUUUUCCCUAACACAACUUUGACUUACCAUUAAAGGAAAUUCAUUUCUUUUAAUAUUGGGAGAUAAUCACAAUUCUCUGGUUCUUAGAAAUGAUGACAAUACAGUAUCUUGAACUAGUAUAAUUAAAAGGUAAAUACUGAUGCUCACAUAUUAAUUAUUUUUAAAUGUGUAUGGACUUUCUUGCUUGCAUGUAUGUCUGUGCACCAUGUACAUGACUGGUAAGUGUGUGGGCUAGAAGAGGGUGUUGGCUCUCCUGAGACCGGAGUUACAGCCAUUUGUGAGCUGCCAUGUAAUUGCUGGUAAUCAGCCACUGCUCUUAACUACUGAGCCAUCACUUCAUCCUCCAAUAUUCAUGUGUUUUGGUCAUACAAAUGACACUACUGUUCAUAGUGGAUGCUUCUUACAAGGUGAGGUCUACAUUAAUGUUCUAGAUUCAAAGGUCCUGGGGCUUUUUUUUUUUUU